rnacentral:rRNA from 1 species
AACGAACGCUGGCGGCAGGCCUAGCACAUGCAAGUCGAGCGAGACCUUCGGGUCUAGCGGCGGACGGGUGAGUAACGCGUGGGAACGUGCCCUUUGCUACGGAAUAGCCCCGGGAAACUGGGAGUAAUACCGUAUGUGCCCUUCGGGGGAAAGAUUUAUCGGCAAAGGAUCGGCCCGCGUUGGAUUAGGUAGUUGGUGGGGUAAUGGCCUACCAAGCCGCCGAUCCAUAGCUGGUUUGAGAGGAUGAUCAGCCACACUGGGACUGAGACACGGCCCAGACUCCUACGGGAGGCAGCAGUGGGGAAUCUUAGACAAUGGGGGAAACCCUGAUCUAGCCAUGCCGCGUGAGCGAUGAAGGCCUUAGGGUUGUAAAGCUCUUUCAGGUGGGAAGAUAAUGACGGUACCACCAGAAGAAGCCCCGGCUAACUCCGUGCCAGCCGCCGCAGUAA